ensembl:lncRNA
UAAUUCUUUAGUCUUAUUAUCACUUCACUACCGGAGAUCCUUGUAGAAAAGAAGUAUUCUGCCUCAUCUAGCUUUUAUGCUACUAUAAAUAUGUACUUGUUAUAUUCUGGAACAUGUUUUUGGCAACGUGCUGUGAAAGUGGGAGGAAGCAGAGAAGACUUUUUGCAGGACUGAGAGCUGGGAUAGUCUCUGUGGCUGGGUCUGACUUCUUGGGCAGCUGCAAAGGAAGGGAGCGAAUCAAUUCCUACUGUGAGGAAAGAAAAAACUUGGUGACACCAGAGGUAGAAGUAGCCAAGAGCUAGAAUAAAGGAUGCAGCUUCACUUUGUAAUCUGAUUAC